rnacentral:rRNA from 1 species
GUGCCAGCAGCCGCGGUAAGACGUAGGGGGCAAGCGUUGUCCGGAUUCAUUGGGCGUAAAGCGCGUGUAGGCGGCCAGGUAGGUCGGAUGUGAAAACUGGAGGCUCAACCUCCAGCUGUCAUCCGAAACCAUCUGGCUAGAGUCCGGAAGAGGAGAGUGGAAUUCCUGGUGUAGCGGUGAAAUGCGCAGAUAUCAGGAAGAACACCUAUGGCGAAGGCAGCUCUCUGGGACGGUACUGACGCUGAGACGCGAAAGCGUGGGGAGCGAACAGGAUUAGAAACCCUUGUAGUCC